rnacentral:rRNA from 1 species
GACGAACGCUGGCGGCGUGCUUAACACAUGCAAGUCGAACGGAAAGGCCCUGCUUUUGUGGGGUGCCCGAGUGGCGAACGGGUGAGUAACACGUGAGUAACCUGCCCUUGACUUUGGGAUAACUUCAGGAAACUGGGGCUAAUACCGGAUAGGAGCUCCUGCUGCAUGGUGGGGGUUGGAAAGUUUCGGCGGUUGGGGAUGGACUCGCGGCUUAUCAGCUUGUUGGUGGGGUAGUGGCUUACCAAGGCUUUGACGGGUAGCCGGCCUGAGAGGGUGACCGGCCACAUUGGGACUGAGAUACGGCCCAGACUCCUACGGGAGGCAGCAGUGGGGAAUAUUGCACAAUGGGCGGAAGCCUGAUGCAGCAACGCCGCGUGCGGGAUGACGGCCUUCGGGUUGUAAACCGCUUUCGCCUGUGACGAAGCGUGAGUGACGGUAAUGGGUAAAGAAGCACCGGCUAACUACGUGCCAGCAGCCGCGGUGAUACGUAGGGUGCGAGCGUUGUCCGGAUUUAUUGGGCGUAAAGGGCUCGUAGGUGGUUGAUCGCGUCGGAAGUGUAAUCUUGGGGCUUAACCCUGAGCGUGCUUUCGAUACGGGUUGACUUGAGGAAGGUAGGGGAGAAUGGAAUUCCUGGUGGAGCGGUGGAAUGCGCAGAUAUCAGGAGGAACACCAGUGGCGAAGGCGGUUCUCUGGGCCUUUCCUGACGCUGAGGAGCGAAAGCGUGGGGAGCGAACAGGCUUAGAUACCCUGGUAGUCCACGCUGUAAACGGUGGGUACUAGGUGUGGGGUCCAUUCCACGGGUUCCGUGCCGUAGCUAACGCUUUAAGUACCCCGCCUGGGGAGUACGGCCGCAAGGCUAAAACUCAAAGGAAUUGACGGGGCCCCGCACAAGCGGCGGAGCAUGCGGAUUAAUUCGAUGCAACGCGUAGAACCUUACCUGGGUUUGACAUGGAUCGGGAGUGCUCAGAGAUGGGUGUGCCUCUUUUGGGGUCGGUUCACAGGUGGUGCAUGGCUGUCGUCAGCUCGUGUCGUGAGAUGUUGGGUUAAGUCCCGCAACGAGCGCAACCCUUGUUCACUGUUGCCAGCACGUUAUGGUGGGGACUCAGUGGAGACCGCCGGGGUCAACUCGGAGGAAGGUGGGGAUGACGUCAAGUCAUCAUGCCCCUUAUGUCCAGGGCUUCACGCAUGCUACAAUGGCUGGUACAGAGAGUGGCGAGCCUGUGAGGGUGAGCGAAUCUCGGAAAGCCGGUCUCAGUUCGGAUUGGGGUCUGCAACUCGACCUCAUGAAGUCGGAGUCGCUAGUAAUCGCAGAUCAGCAACGCUGCGGUGAAUACGUUCCUGGGGCU